AAACAUCCUCCUACAGCUUAUUUGUUCCCACAGAUAUAAGGGGAUGUACGGAUCCAAGCAGCACCAGGUGCACCAAUGCAGGUUGUACUUUAUUCAAUACAACAUAUUGCGGCUGGCUACUUUAGUCAAAAGCCAGGAAA